UGCUCACUUCAGCAGCACAUGCUGAAAAUUGAAACGAUACAGAGAUUAGCAUGGUCCCUGCACAGGGAUAACACACAAAUUCAUGAAGUGUUCCAUAUUUUU